GUCUGCUGUCAAGAAGUCUGUUGUGGAGGCAUCGUGUGUGUACAGAAAAUGAGCACUGUAAGGAUGCCCAGCCUGCUUCCCUGGAUGGUCCUCUGUGUGCUGGGGGUCACAUCCCUGACUCAAGUUUCUUUGUUUUCCAUUGUAUACAGAUGCCACAAUCUCUUUUAUUUGACUGUUGAAGGCUGACUUUUUCCUCGCAAUUUUGACUUUAUCUCGCAAUUGCUCAUUUUGACUGAACUGAACUGGAGUUGACUGAAGGAGAGGGUAUUGUGCAGCUCUCAGGGAAGUACAACUACAGAAACUACAUCUGGCAGUUGAUGUUUGUCACCAGCAGAG